AAACCCUCCAAGUAAACCCACUUCAUUCUCCAAACCUACCUUCAAGUUACAGGGGAUAAAAUUAAGAAGAGAACUCACAUCAAGUCUCGCUUCAAAGGCACAAUGAAGUUGAUGAAUGCUGUAUCUGAAGAGUGCACGAAUUUGGAAGACCAAUUCAUCUUCUUGCUCUUCCAUUGAUGCUUAAUCUUUACUCGAUUUGAAAUUGUUUUGCUCUAUACAAGAGAUUUGAGAGUGUUGAUCGAGUAUUGUAGUUUAAACACACUGCAAAAGAUUGGAGGUGAAAUUUCAAAACUUUGAAAACGUCUGUAGAUUUGCUUUAAAAAGGUGCGUCAUAUUCAUUUGAUGGUUUUAAUAAAGCAAUAUCACUCGGUGAAAAUCCAGCAAUGGAGGAUUUUUACGGGUUUCGUGCAAUGGUGCGGGAUGAAGGAUCUAAUUGUUUGGCAUAUGUGCAAGAGGCAGAUAGGAUUCAUGUUCAAGCAAAUUAUAGAAGAGAGGAGCUAAUGUCUGACCAUUUGCAUCCUCCUAUUCGUCGGCGAGGAAAAUGUGGUGUUGCGGGUAGGAAGGUACGUGCUGUUGAGAGAGGUCGAGCACCUAUUGAAAUGGGUGAAGAUGAUCAAACCACACAAGAUUCCCAAGCAGUCUCAAAUUAUGAACCAACAUUGAGAUUGUGACGUACAUGACACCACAGACUCCACAAAUAUUAAGGAACCCAAGUCUUUCAACACUUGGAAAUGUAUUUGGUAGUAAUCAACCUCAACAUUUUGACAACGCCCCAAACUUUGUGGAUGGUGAUGAGUUGGAGAAUGCAAAUCAAGGUGCAAGCCAAGGUGGUGAACCAUCGGUGAAGAAAAAGCGUACAAUCAUUCCUUAGCUUUGUGGGACUGGUAUGUUAAAAUCUUCAAAUUAUUCUUUGAAUAAGUGUUCCUUUUUAGUUGAAUAACUGAAAAAUUGUUCCUACUUUUACGGAGUCAUUAUCUUAAUCAGCACGGCCAAAAGAACAAAAUAAAAGUUUCUGUAUUGACAAAGAAAAAAGGCUAAGGAUGAAUCAUGUGGUUCCAAAUUGAUAUAGGAAGAAAAAGAAGAUAACUUGGAGCUCAUUUUUCACUCUUUUUGCCGAUUGAAAAAGUUCUGCUCAUUUUUGUUCUUCUUAUGUAAAAAUUAAGUCUAGUUUUUUGAAACUCCAGCAAGAAACUCCAUUUUUGUGGUUAAUAUUUUUUCACUUAACUUUGUAUGGUGUCAAGUAUUUUAUUAUGUGUAAUUUUAUGUAUUUUGUACUGCUGACCAUGUUUGAGGUUGACAUAUUAACUAAUACCAAAUAGAUGCA